rnacentral:ncRNA from 2 species
UUUGAGCACUAGGGGAGCUGUUUUUCCAAAACGGCUGAGAGGAUUCGUUCUGACCCUUGGCACCCGAACUAGGUAAUACUAGCGUGGGGAAGUGCAGGUUUCAGUCG